rnacentral:rRNA from 1 species
UACGUAGGGGGCAAGCGUUGUUCGGAAUUACUGGGCGUAAAGGGCUCGUAGGCGGCCAACUAAGUCAGACGUGAAAUCCCUCAGCUUAACUGGGGAACUGCGUCUGAGACUGGCAAGCUUGAGUGCAGGAGAGGAACGCGGAAUUCCAGGUGUAGCGGUGAAAUGCGUAGAUAUCUGGAGGAACACCGGUGGCGAAGGCGGCGUUCUGGACUGCAACUGACACUGAUGAACGAAAGCCAGGGGAGCAAACGGG